AGUGAACGCUGGCGGUAGGCCUAACACAUGCAAGUCGAACGGCAGCACAGUAAGAGCUUGCUCUUACGGGUGGCGAGUGGCGGACGGGUGAGGAAUACAUCGGAAUCUACUUUUUCGUGGGGGAUAACGUAGGGAAACUUACGCUAAUACCGCAUACGACCUACGGGUGAAAGCAGGGGAUCUUCGGACCUUGCGCGAUUGAAUGAGUCGAUGUCGGAUUAGCUAGUUGGCGGGGUAAAGGCCCACCAAGGCGACGAUCCGUAGCUGGUCUGAGAGGAUGAUCGGCCACACUGGAACUGAGACACGGUCCAGACUCCUACGGAAGGCAGCAGUGGGGAAUAUUGGACAAUGGGCGCAAGCCUGAUCCAGCCAUACCGCGUGGGUGAAGAAGGCCUUCGGGUUGUAAAGCCCUUUUGUUGGGAAAGAAAAGCAGCAGGUUAAUACCCCGCUGUUCUGACGGUACCCAAAGAAUAAGCACCGGCUAACUUCGUG
rnacentral:rRNA from 1 species